ACUACGUCUUGAGGAAGGCACGUGAGGC
rnacentral:sRNA from 1 species